UCCUAAAUAGCUCAGUGGUAGAGCACGGAUUAUUUGAUCACGAGUCAGUGGUUCGAUUCCACUUUUAGGAG
rnacentral:tRNA from 1 species